UCCUCCUCCUAAGUACCCUUUCUUGAAAAAAGAAGACUGGAAGCUAUUUGUUGCACAAAGAACUUCAAAACAAUGGGAGGAGACAAGUAAGAAAGCAAAGAAAGCCCGUGCACAUCAUAAAUACAAUCAUCAUUUGAGUAGAAAGGGAUAUGCCAGACUCACUGCUGAGAUUAUGCAAGAAACUGGCCUGGAGGAAGAGGAGAUUGACAG